rnacentral:rRNA from 1 species
UGCCAGACUCCUACGGGAGGCAGCAGUGGGGGAUAUUGCACAAUGGGGGGAACCCUGAUGCAGCGACGCCGCGUGAGUGAAGAAGUAUUUCGGUAUGUAAAGCUCUAUCAGCAGGGAAGAAAAUGACGGUACCUGACUAAGAAGCCCCGGCUAACUACGUGCCAGCAGCCGCGGUAAUACGUAGGGGGCAAGCGUUAUCCGGAUUUACUGGGUGUAAAGGGUGCGCAGGCGGAAGAUCAAGUCAGCGGUAAAAUUGAGGGGCGCAACCUCUGCGAGCCGUUGAAACUGGUUUUCUUGAGUGAGUGAGAAGUAUGCGGAAUGCGUGGUGUAGCGGUGAAAUGCAUAGAUAUCACGCAGAACUCCGAUUGCGAAGGCAGCAUACCGGCGCCAGACUGACGCUGAGGCACGAAAGCGUGGGGAUCGAACAGGAUUAGAUACCCCGGUACCA